CGCAAGGGGAGUGGCGAACGGGUGAGUAACGCGUGGGAAUCUACCCAGCAGUGGGGAAUAACCGCGGGAAACUGCGGCUAAUACCGCAUACGCCCUUAGGGGGAAAGAUUUAUCGCUGUUGGAGGAGCCCGCGCCCUAUCAGCUAGUUGGUGAGGUAAUGGCUCACCAAGGCUUAGACGGGUAGCUGGUCUGAGAGGACGACCAGCCACACUGGAACUGAGACACGGUCCAGACACC
rnacentral:rRNA from 1 species